rnacentral:rRNA from 1 species
UACGGAGGGUGCGAGCGUUGCUCGGAAUCACUGGGCGUAAAGCGUACGCAGGCUGUCUCGUAAGUCGGGUGUGAAAGCCCGGGGCUCAACCCCGGAAUUGCGCCCGAGACUGCGGGGCUUGAAUGCGGGAGAGGGAAGCGGAAUUCCUGGUGUAGAGGUGAAAUUCGUAGAUAUCUGGAGGAACACCGGUGGCGAAGGCGGCAUCCUGGACCGGUAUUGACACUGAGGCGCGAAAGCCAGGGGAGCAAACGGG